AGGAUGAUGGGGUGUAUAUUCAAAUAGACACAUUAAGUCACAUUGUGAUUUCAGUGAAAGCUGAUAAAUACAGAGGGCUGGACAGUGGUUUCAUUCAUUAGGUAAAGAGGUGGGACAAGGAUGCUGACAGGACAGGAGGAGGUGACAUUCAGACAUUCAACGCAGCCAUUUUCAUCCAAAGCAACUUGAGGAAGAAAACAGAAGCAGUUCAUCCUAAAAGUGGGCUGCUGUAAUGUUUACAUCUAUGGAAAGAGGAGCUGAGAAGAAAAGAGAGGCUGGAAAGCAGUACUUCUUGUUGAGGACAAUCCUGAAUAGGAACACUUUCUCAUACACAUAGAUUAUUAUUAGUGCUUGAUUGUUUGUUUCAUUUUUAUGAAUUGUAUUGUUUUAAUUUUUCGUUUUAUUUGAAAUUACCUAAGUUAGAUUCAUGCUAAUACUUUAACUGGACCUUGUAUCUUUGCUGGCUGGCUGGCUGUAGAGUUGGUUUCACAUACACAUGAAGUUUCUAAUUAACUAACUUUUAAGUUCAGUUUGGUUUAAACUUGUAUUUACCCAUGGUAAUUCAUUUAAAUUUCUAUUCAUGCUUAUAUAUUAAUUUCAAUGAACUUCUGUAUUUGUGUAUAGCUGGCAAUUUGGGCAAGCUACGUUUAACACACAAAUGUAACUGUCACAAAGGUUUUUUUUAUUAUCAGUUUGUUCUAAACUUUUGUUUGUUUACUAAGGAUGAAAUUGCUUUGUAAUUUAAGUUGUUGGUAGAUUCAUGCCAAUAAUGUAUUUGAACAAACUAGUAUUUUUGUUUAUUGCUGGCAGUUUAUACUAGAAGAGUUUUAACACAUACAAUGUUGUAGUGUUAUUGACUUAUGUGCUAUUGAUUAAUAAAAAGGCAAACAAUUUGAAAGUAAUUUUUCGUGUGAUUUAUUUAUUAAUAUAAUUUGGGCAAGAUUAGGCUGAGUUAUGGCUCAGUUUUGGAAGUUCUGGUUAAAUGCUGGUUUUAAUAUGGUU